rnacentral:tRNA from 1 species
GGAGGCAUAGUUCAGCGGUAGAAUACUUGCUCGACAAGCAAGGGGUCACUGGUUCGAUCCCAGUUGCCUCCACCA